rnacentral:rRNA from 1 species
GACGAACGCUGGCGGCGUGCUUAACACAUGCAAGUCGAACGGAAAGGCCCUGCUUUUGCGGGGUGCUCGAGUGGCGAACGGGUGAGUAACACGUGAGUAACCUGCCCUUGACUUUGGGAUAACUUCAGGAAACUGGGGCUAAUACCGGAUAGGAGCUCCUGCUGCAUGGUGGGGGCCGGAAAGUUUCGGCGGUUGGGGAUGGACUCGCGGCUUAUCAGCUUGUUGGUGGGGUAGUGGCUUACCAAGGCUUUGACGGGUAGCCGGCCUGAGAGGGUGACCGGCCACAUUGGGACUGAGAUACGGCCCAGACUCCUACGGGAGGCAGCAGGGGGGAAUAUUGCACAAUGGGCGGAAGCCUGAUACAGCGACGCCGCGUGCGGGAUGACGGCCUUCGGGUUGUAAACCGCUUUCGCCUGUGACGAAGCGUGAGUGACGGUAAUGGGUAAGGAAGCACCGGCUAACUACGUG